UUCGCGCCUCGGCCGGCUCGGCCUCGCGCCGCGCGGGCGCGCGCGCCUCCCGCGAGGCGAGCGCCGGCUCGACGCUCGGCGGCUCGAGG
rnacentral:tRNA from 14 species